AACAACAAAAACCCCCAGAAAUGAUACAUGUAGACAAAUGUCUGACCAGAACAUUUAAACAUCCAGUGCCCUAUGAACGUGCAUUCCUUCAGAUAUAUUUGAGUAAAUUUUACUUCAUCUGACUUACAGAGGAGCCCUGCCAAUUCGCGGGUCAGUAAUCAAAGACUUUUCUGUGGAAUUUAACUCCGACUUAUUCACAGAUUUUUUUGUAGAGCAUAUAUAAAAUAUUUGAUAGAAAAUGCACCUUGGAGAGCAAUGCUACAUAACAUGAUACUGUCUGGCAUUUACAAAGCAAAUCGAUGUUUGAUGUAUAAAAAUAGUCCAUCAUACUGCUACUGCUGGCCACGCCCCCCAACAUUUACAAUCAUACAUGAAAAUGGCUGCAAACAAUUGCGCAGUUAUAGAACUAUACGUCUUUGAAAAGCACUAGUGGAGCUUCCUGCACAACCAACAACAAUGCAGCAAGUGGUUUCUGGAUGGCAUGUCAACAACAAAACACUUGUCUUUUCCAGCAGCAAUUGUACAGCGCAUACAGCAGUAGAACCAGCUGACCAACCAUGUUGGAGCUCAGCUGGUGUUGCUAACAGGGCAGUGCCAG